CGAAGUCGGAAUCGGCAAAGGCCACAGGAGGAUAUUUUGUUCUGGGUUAACCUGCUUUUAUCCUUCGCAGGUUGUUUAUCCAUGUUUGUGUAAUUUUAAUUACUCCUAGAAUUUCCGCAUGUGUUAGCAGUAUUUAUUUGAAUUUGGUCUGUAAUAUUUUUAUCAUGUUGGACCUGUAAACUUAAAUAUGUUAUGUAUGUUU